rnacentral:rRNA from 1 species
UACGUAGGGUGCGAGCGUUGUCCGGAAUUAUUGGGCGUAAAGGGCUCGUAGGCGGUCUGUCGCGUCGGGAGUGAAAGCUCGGGGCUUAACUCCGAGCCUGCUUCUGAUACGGGCAGACUAGAGGUAUGCAGGGGAGAAUGGAAUUCCUGGUGUAGCGGUGAAAUGCGCAGAUAUCAGGAGGAACACCGGUGGCGAAGGCGGCAUCCUGGACCGGCAUUGACGCUGAGGCGCGAAAGCCAGGGGAGCAAACGGG